GUAGUGUCUGGUUUUAUAUUUCCAUGGAUUUGGAGAGCAGCUGCAGCAGAACAAGCCUCGUUGUUCCAAGAUUUAUAAUCUGAUCUCAAGAAGGGCACAAAAGAUUUUGACCAUCUUCUCUGAGAACUCUUGAUGAGGCAUGGCCGUAAUUAUUUGUGGCAGAUGGAAGAACAUAUAGUCAGGCUGGCAAACAGAUGGGUAGAGCGAGGAUUCGCUUCUGCUUAGGACACAGGGCUCUACUUCAUCCCCAUGCAACUGAUGUGCAAAAUCUUGUACCCUGGGACACAUCAUGCACGAAGCUGCAUGGCCAGGGAAGACUGGAGGCGUGAUCAGCCGCGUUGUAGCAUGCAGGAUCUUCAUAGAACACUGGCUGCACAGCAGAUUUGCAAGUAAACAUAACCAGUGUAACUCUGAUCUUUGGAUGAAUUGUACUUAAGCACAUGCCCAUAUUUUUUAAUUAUUGCAGAAUGAUUCCAGAUAAACAGAUUUAAUUUCUAGCUCUUUUACAAUACAACAUGCAAUUUUUAGGUUUUUUUACUGCAUAAUUCCAAUUACAAUCAUGCAUGAUUUUGGAAAUUUAUUUUCAUGUACUGGUUCCCACGAAAGGUAGAAUAGUCUAAAAAUUUUUAAACUACACUGCUCCUUUCAGCAACUUUCCAGCUGUCUAGUUACUCAAUAGCACAGAACACUUCAGUUAAAAGGUAGACAUGUGAAAGGAAAAAAACACUUUCUUGCUGAAAUACUGCUUUCAUUGAUGUAAAAACUUGGAAAUUAGGCAGAGUGCCAGAAGGUAGGGAUAGAUUCUAAAGAUAAAUACUUGCCAGUGCUUUCACAUAUGAAUAUCUUUUAGAUGAAAGCACAAGACAAGAAAAAGGAAAGCCCAUAUGUUUUCAAUGCUGUCCAUGUGAAAACAAUGCCACGCUUAAAAAUAGUUAAGUGAUGAUCUUUCUGAACUAGGUCAGAAAACUUCUUGCCACUAAGACGAUGAAGAACAUGUAGAGUAUAGUACCUGCCAUGCAGUGCAUGUCACAGAAAAAAAUCCCUGGAUGAAGCAUUUUAAAUUCAGUAACUUAUUUUACUGGUUCUAACAGCUAUUUUUAUAGGCAUUUAUGUGUUUUAUUCGUUGUUUGGGAAGAGGCAAAAGUGAGAUAAAAGACCUGCAGAAAUAGACAUUUAAGCUUUUGAAAACUGAUUUCCCACAAGCUGUGUAAGCUUUUUAUCCUUAAAACAGAUAGACAUUUUAAAUAUUAGGUUUUUUAUUUUAAACAUUUUAAAUAGUAGUUUUUCAGCAGAGCAUUUUUACAAGGUUAACUGUAUACUUUUGGCUCUUGUGAUCUCUUAACAAAGAGCUCACAAAUCUCUGCUGCUUAUCUCUGAAUUUGACAUGUUAAAAAACACUGAUUGAUCUCACAUUCCUUGACUAAUGCAGAUAUUCCCAAAUGGAAAUGUUAACUUGAUUAAAGACAGGAAAGCACUGGACAAGAUUUCAGAGGCAGCCAGGCAAGACUGCACUAGAUCAGGAUUUUUCAAACUUCUAGAAAGUGCAGCUUCUUUUGGAUCAUCAGUGUGACAUCUCUGGAUCUGCUGAGCUCCUUUAGGAGGAGGGAAACAAACCUGCUCCUGAUUUUCCCUGUUUACGCUCAGCCCCCUGCCCUGCAGGAGCAGCUCAGCUUCCCGCAGUUGCGCAGAGUUAGCUUGUCUGGGGGUGGCGCAGUCACUUGCAACCAGCAGUUACAGCCUGUUUUCACUUUUCUACCUUGGAAGAACUCACCUGCUGCCAAUCACUCUGGUAUAAAAUACUAUGUGACCCUCUGUGGGUCACCUUGGGAUUAUGAUUUGGGUGAUUUAUCAUCACCUUGGGAUUCAUGAUCCACAGUCUGAGAAACUCUGCCCUUGUCAAACAUAUUUAUGUGGUCUUCCUGUUUUUUAACUGUGUUAUAUUACAGGGUUGUGUCAAAAGUUUGGAGCUUGAUUUUCCAACCACAGCCCAGUGUGUUGGCUGACCACAUGAAAUCACGUGCAGCUUUCUGAUACAUAACACGGGGCAGUGUAAGGGCUCAGGCGUAUUCUGCUGUAUGACUGUGCAGUUGGACAGAGAUCCUUCUGCUUCUGCUCCUUCAGUAUUCUCAGCUCGUUUAUCCUCCAUUGUAAUUCACAUCAUUUUGUCCUGUAGUGCUGAAAGGCAAGUAAAGCUGCCACCACCAAACCUAAGCACUGAGUUUUUGCUUUGAGCAGCAGGAGAUUCUCCACCAAAUGUUCCGGCAGCCUUAAGUCAAUGGAAGGAGAAUAGGGACUUCUCCGUAUUUGAAGUUCAGAGAGAUUCCACAACACUUUUGUGGUAGGGAAAAAAAGAAAAAAAAUCCAACCAAGCAAAGUUUUAAAAAAACCACACAAAAGGCCCAGAGGCAUCAGCAUUGUGUUUGGGUCAGAUUUCUGGGCCAGAUUUCUCCUUGGGAAAUUAGAUUUAUGUGUUAUCUAAAUACAUGCUGUGUACAGUGUCAGUUGUUUACAGCACCUCCAUUAUUAUAGCGGUGUGUGCAGCCUUGUGCACUGCUGAGUGGAUGGAAGUAGAGGAGUUGCAAAUGCAAUAUAAUUGUGUUUGGA